GUCUAUGGCCAUGCCAACCUGAACGUGCCCGAUCUCAUCUGAUCUUGGAAGCUCAGCAGAGUUGGGCCUGGUUAGUACUCAGAUGGUAGACCACCUUGGAAUACCAGGCCAAAUUCC
rnacentral:rRNA from 1 species